UGACCGAUGGUGUAAUGGUAGCACAAGGGUUUUUGGUACCCUUUGUCCAAGUUCGAAUCUUGGUCGGUCAACCA
rnacentral:tRNA from 1 species